rnacentral:misc_RNA from 1 species
GUAACAAGGUUUCCGUAGGUGAACCUGCGGAAGGAUCAUUACCGAGUGAGGGCCCUCUGGGUCCAACCUCCCACCCGUGUUUAUCGUACCUUGUUGCUUCGGCGGGCCCGCCUCACGGCCGCCGGGGGGCACCCGCCCCCGGGCCCGCGCCCGCCGAAGACACCAUUGAACUCUGUCUGAAGAUUGCAGUCUGAGCGAUUAGCUAAAUCAGUUAAAACUUUCAACAACGGAUCUCUUGGUUCCGGCAUCGAUGAAGAACGCAGCGAAAUGCGAUAAGUAAUGUGAAUUGCAGAAUUCAGUGAAUCAUCGAGUCUUUGAACGCACAUUGCGCCCCCUGGUAUUCCGGGGGGCAUGCCUGUCCGAGCGUCAUUGCUGCCCUCAAGCACGGCUUGUGUGUUGGGCCCCCGCCCCUCCCCCCGGGGGGGCGGGCCCGAAAGGCAGCGGCGGCACCGCGUCCGGUCCUCGAGCGUAUGGGGCUUCGUCACCCGCUCUGUAGGCCCGGCCGGCGCCCGCCGGCGACCCCAAUCAAUCUUUCCAGGUUGACCUCGGAUCAGGUAGGGAUACCCGCUGAACUUAAGCAUAUCAAUAA